UGAGGAAUAUUGGUCAAUGGGCGAGAGCCUGAACCAGCCAAGUAGCGUGCAGGAUGACGGCCCUAUGGGUUGUAAACUGCUUUUAUGUGGGGAUAAAGUGCGUGACGUGUCAUGUAUUGCAGGUACCACAUGAAUAAGGACCGGCUAAUUCCGUGCCAGCAGCCGCGGUAAUACGGAAGGUCCGGGCGUUAUCCGGAUUUAUUGGGUUUAAAGGGAGCGUAGGCUGUCUAUUAAGCGUGUUGUGAAAUUUACCGGCUCAACCGGUGGCUUGCAGCGCGAACUGGUCGACUUGAGUAUGCAGGAAGUAGGCGGAAUUCAUGGUGUAGCGGUGAAAUGCUUAGAUAUCAUGACGAACUCCGAUUGCGCAGGCAGCUUACUGUAGCAUAACUGACGCUGAUGCUCGAAAGUGCGGGUAUCAAACAGG
rnacentral:rRNA from 1 species